rnacentral:lncRNA from 1 species
CGGACAUUUGCCAAACGCCCCAGUGUUGCUGUCUGCACAGCUCCUGCAGUCAGCGGCAGGAUACCUGGCUGGGAGAGCCUGUUCAGCCUGAAUUCUUGUGCUCACGGCCAGCAGGGAGGCUGUGUGGACUACUCCGAGGACUGGGAGCAUGUGGAAGAAAUACUCCCUGUGUCAGAGUGAGAUAACAUCGUCUUUCACAAUCUGUGUAAAAU